CCCACCCUUUGUGAACGUACCUCUGUUGCUUUGGCGGCUCCGGCCGCCAAAGGACCUCCAAACUCCAGUCAGUAAACGCAGACGUCUGAUAAACAAGUUAAUAAACUAAAACUUUCAACAACGGAUCUCUUGGUUCUGGCAUCGAUGAAGAACGCAGCGAAAUGCGAUAAGUAAUGUGAAUUGCAGAAUUCAGUGAAUCAUCGAAUCUUUGAACGCACAUUGCGCCCCUUGGUAUUCCGGGGGGCAUGCCUGUUCGAGCGUCAUUACAACCCUCAAGCUCUGCUUGGAAUUGGGCACCGUCCUCACUGCGGACGCGCCUCAAAGACCUCGGCGGUGGCUGUUCAGCCCUCAAGCGUAGUAGAAUACACCUCGCUUUGGAGUGGUUGGCGUCGCCCGCCGGACGAACCUUCUGAACUUUUCUCAAGGUUGACCUCGGAUCAGGUAGGGAUACCCGCUGAACUUAAGCAUAUCAAUAAGCGGAGGAA
rnacentral:rRNA from 1 species